CCCCGGCACUCUCUCUCCCAUCCCUAAAAAAAACUCUCUCACAAACUCACCUGCUCCUCUCCCCACGAUCUCCUCGCCGCCGCCACCACCCACCCACGAUCUCCCCCAAGCUCCCACCUUCCUCCGCUCUAAUCCCCCAUGGAAGCCACCGCCGCCGCCUCCCUCGCGCGGACCCUCGCCUCCCCGCUGCUCCCGCCGUAGCCGCGUGCGCGUGGCCGUGGCGCCGGAGCGGCGGAGGAGGGGUAGGGCGGUGCUCUCCGCGGCGGCCUCGACGGGCAACUACAUGGUGCCACCUUCCUCCAAGACCAGCCGCCUCGUGCUGCGGCUGAUGGCAGUGGCGCAGCGAGUCUCCCACCUCACCACCACCGCUGCUUGCCGUCCGUCCCUCCUUCCGUCUAUGGCGACGGCGACCUCCGGCGUCAGCAGGCUCAGCGCAGCGGCGGGUAACAACGACGGCGACGUCGGCCUCCAAGACCCCAUCCCGGCCUCUGUUGGAAUAUGUAGGUACCCACUCCUUCCCCUUCCCCUUCACUUGCUGCCCGCUCUCUUCAAAUCUGUUUCUGCAUCCUCUGUUAGAACUUGUUUGCUCUCUGUUUUUUGGAGAUGUGCUAGUCUGUAUGAAUGUAUAAUUGGUACGUAGCUCAAAACGAAACUUGCAAAUGGUUCAAUACAUUUACAGGCAGCACCGAGAUGGCAUGGUUGAACGCAAAAAGCAAAUGCCAUGACUGACGAAACUGAAAAAAUUGAACACUUCCUUCCUCGUCCUGGGUGAAAACCAUGUGACUGCACAACCGUGCUUUGCUAGUACAUGCAGGUUCAGUGAGUUUGGAACCGAUGGAGGACAACAGCAAAGUCUGAAGCCAAAGUUCAACCUCUUUGUCAAGCAGGUGUCCGCCAGCAUUGGGAUGGCAGAGCCACACAUUGAUGUAUGGAUAUUUUCUGGUUGCUUACCCCGUUCUACAUCAUUGUUUUUUGUUUAAGGAUCCAUUCACCUAGUUCCUAGUUUUGAUGGAUUUUGUUCUGUUUGUUUACAAAUCAAGUCUUUCAUUGCCUUUACCGUGUUUCUUAAAGCCUUUGGUGGUCUGCUUUUCAUCAUCAGCAGCUCGUUUGGAGCAUUCGUACUGGUGUGUACUCUUCUUCUGAAUGCACUGUAUCAAGAAUUAUUUCAUGUUAAGGGGGUAUCAAGAUGCAUACUAUUGUGGCUGCCAUUAAUGUAGACUUGCAGCACCAUGUCUUCUCAAACUAAUAAAAAGGAAGUAUUGUUGCCAUGCCAUUUAGGUAGUUUUAACAAUUUUAGUGUGUCCAUUUUACUGGCUGUAAAAUGCCAAAUCUGGCAUUAUUGCUGCUUCGAUGUUUGAUCUUCAUACAUUUUGCUUCUGCAAUAUCCUGUUGUAGCAUCUGACAGUGGAAUGCUUCAACAACAACCUUCCUGAAAGAUUCCAAAUGUGGUGGCAGGUUAUUCUUAUUUUUUAACCACUUGAUAGGCUCAUGUCUGUUGAGUUUGUGCAACUGAUUUGCUACAGUCCAAAUUUACGUGUUUAUGCUUAUAUUUAUUGUUUGCAUUCUAUAUGUGACAAUGCAACAGUUCUUUGAGGCAUCAAUCCAUGAUAACUGGGCAUAUCGGUUUAUGCUUAGAUAUAAAGAAACCAAAUAUAUAUUCUGUCUUAUUAUACGGAACCAAUUGUAUUUAAUCCAUGUUAAAAUGAUUAUGCAUUUAUCAUGUUGGAACUUCUUUGUCAAGCAGGUCUCCGCCAACAUUGGGAAUUUGGGAUGGCAGUGCCACACAUUGAUGGCAAUGGAUAAAAUCUACUCUGGAUAGUUGACAGAGAGAGUACAUGCUAAGUUGACUUUUUUCCUGCGGAUUUGCUUAUCCUGAAGAUGCUUGCAAGGAUGCAGAGGGAGCGGAUCAUUUGGAGAGAUAGGAUGCCACUGUUUGGUGUUUUUAUGCAUUUUGGUUUGCUUGUAACUGUGUUUGCACUAGCUGGGAGUAAGUGACUUGGCAAGAAGUGUAGGUGUUUUAAUUGAAGGCAUGAAAAGCCAUGACAAUAUGUAUGCUCUUACAGGAUGUGCUCUAAUGCCGCUGGUUUAUUAUAAAUCUUGGAUUAGUAAUGAUGUGUAA